GGGGGUGCACCGGUCUCGACCUGAGCGGUCUGGAUCGCGGGUUGCAGGUGGAGCCGCCGAUCUCCUGAUUCGGCAAACUCUUAAUUGCCAACAACAACGGCAAUCUCGCUCUCGCCGCGUAAGCGUCGAUAAGCGACGGGCUUGCGGUUGCGCCGCCUCGAGCGGCCGCUAAGCCCGUAACCGACCGAGGCUCGCUCCGCGCACGGCCUGGAUUGCGCGGGGGACAGAACCCAGGAUACGGGAAGGAAGGCGCGCCGCCCCGCUGCCCCUUCCCCGACAACCCGAAAGGACGGAUAAACCUGUAGACGCUCGCCCUCCGCGCCCGGGGACGCGGGUUCGAUUCCCGCCACCUCCAAAA
rnacentral:tmRNA from 1 species